rnacentral:rRNA from 1 species
GACGUAGGGCGCGAGCGUUGUCCGGAUUUAUUGGGCGUAAAGAGCUCGUAGGCGGCUUGUCGCGUCGACUGUGAAAUCCCGCGGCUCAACCGCGGGUCUGCAGUCGAUACGGGCAGGCUAGAGUUCGGUAGGGGAGACUGGAAUUCCUGGUGUAGCGGUGAAAUGCGCAGAUAUCAGGAGGAACACCGAUGACGAAGGCAGGUCUCUGGGCCGAUACUGACGCUGAGGAGCGAAAAGCGUGGGGAGCGAACAGG